GGGCUGCAGUAUUUUGACUGUACAAAGGUAGCAUAAUCAAUAGUCUCUUAAUUGGUGACUUGUAUGAAAGAUUGGAUGAGAUAUAAACUGUCUCUAAUUGAUUUAUAAAAAUUAAUUUUUUAGUAAAAAAGCUAAAAUAAUUUUAAAAGACGAGAAGACCCUAUAGAGUUUAAUAUUUUAUUUAAUAAUUAUUAAUAUAUGUAAUUUUAAAAAUUAAAAUUAAAUGAAAUAUUUUGUUGGGGUGAUAAAAAAAUUAAAUUAACUUUUUUUGAUUGUAAACAUUAAUUUAUGAUUAAAUGAUCCAUUUAUAGUGAUUAAAAGAAAAAAUUACCUUAGGGAUAACAGCGUAAUUUUUUUUUUUAGUUCAAAUAGGAAAAAAAGUUUGCGACCUCGAUGUUGGAUUAA
rnacentral:rRNA from 1 species